UACGGAGGAUCCGAGCGUUAUCCGGAUUUAUUGGGUUUAAAGGGUGCGCAGGCGGAAGAUUAAGUCGGUGGUGAAAUUUUGCAGCUCAACUGUAAAAGUGCCAUUGAUACUGGUUUUCUUGAGUGUGGAUGAAGUAGGCGGAAUUUGUGGUGUAGCGGUGAAAUGCAUAGAUAUCACGAGGAACUCCGAUUGCGCAGGCAGCUUACUAAACUACUACUGACGCUCAGGCACGAAGGCGUGGGGAUCAAACAGGAUUAGA
rnacentral:rRNA from 1 species